rnacentral:rRNA from 1 species
ACGUAGGGAGCAAGCGUUAUCCGGAUUUACUGGGUGUAAAGGGCGCGUAGGCGGGAAUUCAAGUCAGAUGUGAAAUCUGAGGGCUCAACCCUGAAAGUGCACGCGAAACUGAAGUUCUUGAGGGCUGGAGAGGUGAGUGGAAUUCCUAGUGUAGCGGUGAAAUGCGUAGAUAUUAGGAGGAACACCAGUGGCGAAGGCGACUCGCUGGACAUUUUCUGACGCUGAGGCGCGAAAGCGUGGGGAGCAAACAG